GUCGGCGUAGCUCAGUUGGUAGUAGCGCAGGACUCAUAAGCCUGAGGUCGGUGGAUCGUUCCCACCCGCCGACACAA
rnacentral:tRNA from 1 species